rnacentral:rRNA from 1 species
CAGUCGAGCGAGCUUGCCUAUAGAAAUUCUUCGGAAUGGACAUAGAUACAAGCUAGCGGCGGAUGGGUGAGUAACGCGUGGGUAACCUGCCCUUAAGUCUGGGAUACCAUUUGGAAACAGAUGCUAAUACCGGAUAAAAGCUACUUUCGCAUGAAAGAAGUUUAAAAGGCGGCGUAAGCUGUCGCUAAAGGAUGGACCUGCGAUGCAUUAGCUAGUUGGUAAGGUAACGGCUUACCAAGGCGAUGAUGCAUAGCCGAGUUGAGAGACUGAUCGGCCACAUUGGGACUGAGACACGGCCCAAACUCCUACGGGAGGCAGCAGUAGGGAAUCUUCCACAAUGGACGAAAGUCUGAUGGAGCAACGCCGCGUGAGUGAAGAAGGUUUUCGGAUCGUAAAGCUCUGUUGUUGGUGAAGAAGGAUAGAGGUAGUAACUGGCCUUUAUUUGACGGUAAUCAACCAGAAAGUCACGGCUAACUACGUGCCAGCAGCCGCGGUAAUACGUAGGUGGCAAGCGUUGUCCGGAUUUAUUGGGCGUAAAGCGAGCGCAGGCGGAUUGAUAAGUCUGAUGUGAAAGCCUUCGGCUCAACCGAAGAACUGCAUCAGAAACUGUCAAUCUUGAGUGCAGAAGAGGAGAGUGGAACUCCAUGUGUAGCGGUGGAAUGCGUAGAUAUAUGGAAGAACACCAGUGGCGAAGGCGGCUCUCUGGUCUGUAACUGACGCUGAGGCUCGAAAGCAUGGGUAGCGAACAGGAUUAGAUACCCUGGUAGUCCAUGCCGUAAACGAUGAGUGCUAAGUGUUGGGAGGUUUCCGCCUCUCAGUGCUGCAGCUAACGCAUUAAGCACUCCGCCUGGGGAGUACGACCGCAAGGUUGAAACUCAAAGGAAUUGACGGGGGCCCGCACAAGCGG